rnacentral:rRNA from 1 species
AUUGAACGCUGGCGGCAGGCCUAACACAUGCAAGUCGAACGAGGGGCAGACGGGUGAGUAAUGUCUGUGAAACUGCCCGAUGGAGGGGGAUAACUACUGGAAACGGUGGCUAAUACCGCAUACCAUCAGAUGUGCCCAGAGGGGAUUAGCUAGUUGGUGGGGGAACGGCUCACCAAGGCGACGAUCCCUAGCUGGUCUGAGAGGAUGACCAGCCACACGGGAAUGGAGAAACGGGCAAGAUCCCUACGGGAGGCAGCAGUGGGGAAUAUUGCACAAGGGGCGAAAGCCUGAUGCAGCCAGGCGGCGUGUAGGAAGAAGGCCUGCGGGUUGUAAAGUACGUUCAGAGGGGAGGCGGUACCCGCAGAAGAAGCACCGGCUAACUCCGUGCCAGCAGCCGCGGUAAUAC